AGGGCUAUAGCUCAGUUAGGUAGAGCACCUCGUUUACACUCGGUUUUACCGAGAAGGUCUACGGUUCGAGUCCGUAUAGCCCUA
rnacentral:tRNA from 6 species